AGGAAGCCCAAUACAGAUAACAGCAUCUCCACCGGAAUAUUCUAUCCACUUUCCACAUGGAGUUGCUGUUACAAGUCCUGAGCCUCAU